UACGAGGGAUCGUAGCGUUGUUCGGAUUUAUUGGGUUAAGGGUGCGUAGGCGGCCUUAUAAGUCAGUGCUGAAUAUCCCGGCUUAACCGGGAGGGUGGCAUUGAUACUGUAGGCUGAGUGUAGUCGAGGUAGGCGGAAUUGACGGUGUAGCGGUGAAUGCUAGAUAUCGUCAAGAACACCGAUAGUGUAGACAGCUUACUAGGCUACACUGACGCUGAGGCACGAAAGUGUGGGAGUCAAACAGG
rnacentral:rRNA from 1 species